AAAAAUGACUGUUCUUUCAUGAAAUGUUGACAUCUGCAGACAAAUAGUGUCCUGCAGCAUGUGCCAAAUUCCCUCUCUUCAUAUGUAAACCUUGCUACAAACACCUCCUACCCUGAUAUUUUUAGUGACAAGUGGAAAAUUGCUCUAUUAGCAGAACAAGGAGAAGUUAAUUCCUUCCAGCACCAGUUGCUGGUUUUUUAAGGCCAUGGAAACUUGGAAUUGAAUAUGCAAUAACAGGUAGAAAAAGACUGAGUACAAUCAUGUAAAAGCUGAAUUACUCCAAAUUGAUUUUUGCCUUCCCUCUUGCACUAAUUUUGUACCUAUUUGAUGUUGCAGAACUGUGCUGACUUUGAACGGGAAUUAAUGUCAAAGAUGCCCCUGAAGUCCAAAGCUGGAAUUCAGAUGAAAGACUUCUACAGUACGUUUUGACCUCUGUCAGCAGCAGCAGACUGGCUCGAAGACCUACAGGACAAAGAAUGGCUUUGCUAAUUAAGCCUACUGUAUGCUCACAGAAGAGACCAUGCUGGGACAGAGGACGGCGGAAGACAACUGGAAAGGAAGUGACACUUCGUUCACUUGAAGGAUCACACGCUUGUUUCUUUUCCAUCUGGCUGGAUGCUUGGCUAGCUUCUAAAGUCAGAGACACUGCAGAUGAACAUCUACGGCAUCUCUACCUCUGCAAAAACCUUCACUUGUACAGGUCUACAAAAGCCAAAGCAUGUGGGCUAGAUCAUGCGCUGUGAUGCAGAAGGAAAAUUGAGACAUCAAUCUCUGUCAUAUCCUCCAGCUGGAUGAAGUUCCUAUGCUUAACAGCAAUAUAGCAGUUUUUCCUCUCAGGAAUCAUUCCUUUCCACAUUUAAGCAGCAGAGCUGAUCUCCAAGUAGACAGAUCUGACAGGUAGCUCCUCUGAGAUCCCCUUUCCAAUUGCACUCUUGAUGCAGACAUGACAGGUUCAGGAAGAAAAGGAUGGUGAGGAGGGGGCAGCAGAAUGGAAAGCAGGAGAGGGAAAAGAAAGCAAACCAUAUAAUGUGCGAUAUAUUUCAGUACUAAGCAAUAAAGGAUGGAGAGAGAGAGAUGAAACA
rnacentral:lncRNA from 1 species